CGCGUACACAACCUACCUACAAGAGAGGGAUAGCCCCGGGAACGUAGGAGUAAUACCUCAUAGUAUUAUUCUGGAGAUUUUGGUAAUAAUUAAAACUACAGGUGCUUGUAGAUGGGUGUGCGUCCGAUUAGCUAGAUGGUGAGGUAACGGCUCACCAUGGCGACGAUUGGUAGGGGGCGUGAGAGCGUGGUCCCCCACACGGGUACUGAGACACGGACCCGACUCCUACGGGAGGCAGCAGUAAGGAAUAUUGGACAAUGGGCGGCAAGCCUGAUCCAGCUAUCCCGCCGUGCAGGAUGA
rnacentral:rRNA from 1 species